rnacentral:rRNA from 1 species
GGGCCUACGGGGGGCAGCAGUGGGGAAUAUUGCACAAUGGGGGAAACCCUGAUGCAGCGACGCCGCGUGAGCGAUGAAGUAUUUCGGUAUGUAAAGCUCUAUCAGCAGGGAAGAAAAUGACGGUACCUGACUAAGAAGCCCCGGCUAACUACGUGCCAGCAGCCGCGGUAAUACGUAGGGGGCAAGCGUUAUCCGGAUUUACUGGGUGUAAAGGGAGCGUAGACGGCGGUGCAAGCCAGAUGUGAAAGCCCGGGGCUCAACCCCGGGACUGCAUUGGGAACUGUGCUGCUA